rnacentral:lncRNA from 1 species
GUUCCUAUGGCCAUUAUCUACAAAAGGGUGUCUCAGAUUUCAGAUAGAAUGUAUAAAACAAAUUUUACACCAAAUCAAACAUAAUCUUCUUUUAUGUGGUUAGGAUGUUUACACUAAUUAGAGAUUAAUGAGAGAAUGGAAUACCAUAAGAACAAUUUGAGACACCCUUUUGAAGCCCAUGAUGUGUUGAUUAAGAUUUCGUUAAAAUUUUCUGUAUAGUUAAAGAAAUGAUAGAGCUAAAUUCAUUCAAGUGAACUGACCCAGAUUUUGCCACUAAUUACAUAAUGAUUGCAUAAUAAAAAUAUUGCAACCAUUUAAAAGAUUAAUCUUUUAUCUUUCUAUAUAUGCCUCUUUUAUUAUUUUCUAUGCAUUCAUAAGAAAGUUAC